GACGACGCUGGCGGCGUGCCUAACACAUGCAAGUCGAGCGAAUGAAGUUCCUUCGGGAAUGGAUUUAGCGGCGGACGGGUGAGUAACACGUGGGCAACCUGCCUCAUAGAGGGGAAUAGCCUUCCGAAAGGGAGAUUAAUACCGCAUAAGAUUGUAGUACCGCAUGGUACAGCAAUUAAAGGAGCAAUCCGCUAUGAGAUGGGCCCGCGGCGCAUUAGCUAGUUGGUGAGGUAACGGCUCACCAAGGCGACGAUGCGUAGCCGACCUGAGAGGGUGAUCGGCCACAUUGGGACUGAGACACGGCCCAGACUCCUACGGGAGGCAGCAGUGGGGAAUAUUGCACAAUGGGGGAAACCCUGAUGCAGCAACGCCGCGUGAGUGAUGACGGCCUUCGGGUUGUAAAGCUCUGUCUUCAGGGACGAUAAUGACGGUACCUGAGGAGGAAGCCACGGCUAACUACGUG
rnacentral:rRNA from 1 species